AUGAACGCUGGCGGCGUGCCUAAUACAUGCAAGUCGAACGAAACUUCUUUAUCACCGAGUGCUUGCACUCACCGAUAAAGAGUUGAGUGGCAAACGGGUGAGUAACACGUGGGCAACCUGCCCAAAAGAGGGGGAUAACACUUGGAAACAGGUGCUAAUACCGCAUAACCAUAGUUACCGCAUGGUAACUAUGUAAAAGGUGGCUAUACUACCGCUUUUGGAUGGGCCCGCGGCGCAUUAGCUAGUUGGUAGGGUAAAGGCUUACCAAGGCAAUGAUGCGUAGCCGAAUUGAGAGGUUGAUCGGCCACAUUGGGACUGAGACACGGCCCAAACUCCUACGGGAGGCAGCAGUAGGGAAUCUUCCACAAUGGGCGAAAGCCUGAUGGAGCAACGCCGCGUGGGUGAAGAAGGUCUUCGGAUCGUAAAACCCUGUUGUUAGAGAAGAAAGUGCGUGAGAGUAACUGUUCACGUUUCGACGGUAUCUAACCAGAAAGCCACGGCUAACUACGUG
rnacentral:rRNA from 1 species